rnacentral:rRNA from 1 species
AUGUAUCGGUCGGUGAUUAAUCGGGCAAAUAUUAAUCGGUGGGUGAGUUCAUGCAUCACCGUGCUCUGGGCGAUGACGGUGACGGUGUCUGCCGGAGUGCCGGCCGGCCUACGCCUCCAUCUCCUCCAUGGCCAUCUCCUUCAUCUUCUGGUGCGCCCUCGUCCCCAGCUCGCAGGCGCAGCCCAGGCACGGUCUGCUCACCGCCACCGCGCACUGGGCCGGCAUGCCGCCGUUGUUCACCGGCACGUCGCCGUCGGCGGCGACGGCUGCUGGCGCCGCCGCCUUGCGCGCGAUGAUGACGGAGUUGAUCACCUCGUCCUCCGGGUGGUGCACGGUGAGCACCUCGAACCCGCCUCGCCGGAUCUCCUCGGGGUCCACCACCGGGUACAGGAACCCGCGCGCGCCGUGCGCGCUCCGCACCACGAGCGCCGCGCCGGGGGCCAUGUGCCUCCCGAGGUGCUCCACCAGGCGCGCCUUCUCCUCGGCCGCCAUGCCCACCAGCGCCGCCAGGAACACCACGUCGUAGCCCGCCAGCUCGGUCGUCACGUCGGCCACGUCUGCCGUGCGGAACGCCAUGCGCGCGCCGGCGUCGGCGUCGUUGCGGACCAGCCGGCUGGCGCGCUCGUUGGCCUCGCCGGAGAUGUCGUAGUUGUCGAAGGAGGCGUCGGGCAGGUGGCGCGCGGCGAGCACGAGGGAGCUGAGCGGCAGCGGGCCGGAGCCGAGGAAGGCGACGCGGGCCGGGGCCGGGCCCGGGACGUGGCGGGCGAGGAGGCCGUGCUCCAGCUGGCUGAGCUUGAUGUAGUUGUUGAAGUAGGGGAAGAGGGUGAGGUGGUCGAGCGGGUUGUCGUGCGCGGCGAGGAGGUCGGAGUAGUGCGCCUCCAGGUGGCCCUCGGCGUCGGCGCAGAGGCGGAUGAGGCGGGCGCGCAUCUCCUGCGCCUCCGGGCCCAGCGCGUCGACGUCGACGGUGCUCGCCGGGAUGCAGGACGUCACCAGCUCGGUGAAGAGCGCGUUCACCGCCGGCGAGGGGCUCAGCGAGGGCAGCUCGCCGAUGGCCGCGGCGAGGCCGGUGAUCUUCUUCACCAGGGCCUCCUCCUCCAUCACCUUCUUGUUGCAGCAGCCCUCCACGCCCAUGAUCUGCCGAUCAGCUGCUAA